UGGGGAAUAUUGCACAAUGGGGGAAACCCUGAUGCAGCAACGCCGCGUGAAGGAAGACGGUUUUCGGAUUGUAAACUUCUUUUCUUAGUGAAGAAGCAAGUGACGGUAGCUAAGGAAUAAGCAUCGGCUAACUACGUGCCAGCAGCCGCGGUAAUACGUAGGAUGCGAGCGUUAUCCGGAAUUACUGGGUGUAAAGGGAGCGCAGGCGGGACUGCAAGUUGGAUGUGAAAUACCGCAGCUUAACUGCGGAGCUGCAUCCAAAAUCUGUAGUUCUUGAGUGGAGUAGAGGCAAGCGGAAUUCCGAGUGUAGCGGUGAAAUGCGUAGAUAUUCGGAGGAACACCAGUGGCGAAGGCGGCUUGCUGGGCUCUAACUGACGCUGAGGCUCGAAAGUGUGGGGAGCAAACAGGAUUAGAUACCC
rnacentral:rRNA from 1 species